GCUCGACCACGUUGAGAUCCUCAUGGGGCCUGCGCAGGUGUACCGCUCCUGGCGCCGAGCCGCGCGUGACUACCCCAAGCUCCUCAGCGAACAGUGAGACUGCAAUCCCACACCCCCGCCUCCCUGUUCUAGGAUUUUAAAGUUCCGUUCUGAUUUUCCUUUGUUGCGAGUAUACAACAUCUACUUUCCUCUGCCUGUCAGCUGUUAGGUGAAAUGUCUCAAAUGUAACCUGUUGUGAACAAUUCAUUUUCUACUAGUUGAAAUUCUACAGGAGCAGAAGUGGAUCAUAGCUGUUGUUUAUGGUGCCUGUAUAUGCCUUUGAAUCUGCAGUAACACAUCUCCAUAUAUUUAUUGCAAGUUUAUUUCAAAUUGAGGAAGCUGAACUGAGCAUUAUGAAUUUGUAUGCUGAUUCCUAAUGAUAUAUAUCAAGAAGGCGUAAUUGUAAGAGAGACAUGAUGGGUGCAACUUGGAGUAGCAUGUGAGCUCAUAUGCAUUGCUGAAGAAUCUUUUUAUGUUUGUGUUAAGUAGAUCAAGUCCUGUCAGAUUGAUUCAAUAGUUUUCAACUGAGUUGAUUGUAACUUGCUACUGGAAUAUCUAUGAAUAUUUCUGCUCAUUAAAAUUACUACAUAUCAGCAGCAAUGUAUUUGUUUUCUAUACCACAUGUUGUUCCUGUAAUAUUAUUGGAAGAAUAAUGGUAUGUUGCCGGUCACUACCUUGAUCAAUGGAACUUGAUAUGGACCGGAUGUUUGAUGGAUGCAAUUUGAAUUA